rnacentral:rRNA from 1 species
GACGAACGCUGGCGGCGUGCUUAACACAUGCAAGUCGAACGGAAAGGCCCUGCUUUUGUGGGGUGCUCGAGUGGCGAACGGGUGAGUAACACGUGAGUAACCUGCCCUUGACUUUGGGAUAACUUCAGGAAACUGGGGCUAAUACCGGAUAGGAGCUCCUGCUGCAUGGUGGGGGUUGGAAAGUUUCGGCGGUUGGGGAUGGACUCGCGGCUUAUCAGCUUGUUGGUGGGGUAGUGGCUUACCAAGGCUUUGACGGGUAGCCGGCCUGAGAGGGUGACCGGCCACAUUGGGACUGAGAUACGGCCCAGACUCCUACGGGAGGCAGCAGUGGGGAAGAUUGCACAAUGGGCGGAAGCCUGAUGCAGCAACGCCGCGUGCGGGAUGACGGCCUUCGGGUGGUAAACCGCUUUCGCCUGUGACGAAGCGUGAGUGACGGUAAUGGGUAAAGAAGCACCGGCUAACUACGU